rnacentral:rRNA from 1 species
AUGCUGCUCGGCAUCUUGGUGGUGAGCGUAGCCUACCAGGCCGGCCUGGAACAGCCCGGCGGAGCGUGGCAGAGCAACAUCAACGGGUAUGUGGCGGGCAACCCGGUGAUGUACGACAACAGGAGGCCCCGGUACCUCACCUUCUUCUACAGCAACUCCAUCGUUGUCAUCAUCAUGUUGCUACCGCAAUGGCUUCUAAGGAUGGAGCAAGGAGAAUGGGAGAAAUGGACGCUGAAGGUGAUGAACUGGACGAUCAGACUGGAUCUUUUUGCUCUCCUGGUGGCCUAUGCAGCCGGCUCCAACAGGGGGUGGAAAACCAUUCUCAGAUUUGACCUCACGUUCAAUCUCCCUGUGCAAAGUAGCUCUGCACGGAAAUGA